GAAAUGCGAUAAGUAAUGUGAAUUGCAGAAUUCAGUGAAUCAUCGAAUCUUUGAACGCACAUUGCGCCCGCCAGUAUUCUGGCGGGCAUGCCUGUUCGAGCGUCAUUUCAACCAUCAAGCCCCGCGCUUGUGUUGGGGACCUGCGGCUGCCGCAGGCCCUGAAAACCAGUGGCGGGCUCGCUGUCACACCGGGCGUAGUAGAUUUUAUCUCGCUCAGGGCGUGCUGCGGGUUCCGGCCGUUAAAAAGCCUUUUUUAUCCAAGGUUGACCUCGGAUCAGGUAGGAAGACCCGCUGAACUUAAGC
rnacentral:misc_RNA from 1 species